GCGGGUAUGGCGGAACUGGCAGACGCACUAGAUUUAGGAUCUAGCGCUUCACGGCGUGGGGGUUCGACUCCCUUUACCCGCACCA
rnacentral:tRNA from 1 species